rnacentral:lncRNA from 1 species
UCUUUAGAAAGGAAAAUGUUUCCAUUGUUCAAUCGCAAAAGCAUAAUUUUAAAUAGUAAUGUGAUAGUACUACAAUUUUCAAUACUACCAUUUAUUAAAAUAUGUGAACAUAAUUAAAAAUUACAUCAUCAUGUAUAAACACACUAGUUUGAGUAUUCUAGCGUCGUCGCAGCUGCCUAGUAUUAAAAGCAUUAAUUUUCAAAUAAACGGUCCCUUUGUCAGCUUAACCACAUGUUAGGUAUUGGAUUUAUCGACUUUUUCCGUAGCUAUCGUAGAUUUACGCUAAAUAUUUGAUAGUGUUUGAGAUGUAAAACUAGGGAAGUAAGAACUUUGUGGACGACAAUAUCCUCAGAACACAACGAUAGAAUUAGGUUCGAUUCGUCGAAAAUGGACUUUGUUAUUUGUGUCAAAUAACAUCGAGAUCUCGGAGGAGAGAAAGGAUCGUGACUGAACUCGGGAUCGAGCUGCCUACGUACCCGUCAAGGGAUCAAGUCUAAACGUAGUUCGAUUAUCAUCAUCUCGAGUGAGAUGUCGGUUUUAUCGGUCUUGGGCAAGACAUCUGGUUUGCCGGUUCAUCGAUCUUGAGCGGGUGAUACGUCAACUUUGUGCACAUGGCAUUGUAUGAAUACAAGCUCGUGCUAUUAGCAUGAUCAAGGUUCGCUAUUAUUGUCUUGUUCGGCUCUUCUAAUAAAGAGAAGAGUUUGAUCUCAUCAAAUAGAUUGUCGUGUGUUUAUGAGAUGAAAUAAUGGUGAGAAUACUCGUUUACGGUUAAGAGGAGAGGUCGAGCUUUUGUUCAGCUCCAGAUAUAAUGACUUCGAAGAGCUACGUCCUCUCGUUUGAUUUCUGUAAUCAACAUAAAUAAUUAUGUAUAUAUCUUUUCUUCUUCUUAAACAAUUCUAAUUGUUUAAGUUAUUUUCUUGGCACAAUGAUUCCAUCAUCGGUGGUAGAAAUAAGAUCUCUUUUAUUUUUAUUCUCUUAUGGGAGAUCUCGCUCUCUCCAGUCGGACCUCC